AAGCUCGUAGUUGAAUUUCGGGAUUGGCAUAUCGGUCGUGCCUUCGGGCACGUACUGGUAGUUGUUAAUCUCCACCUUCUAGUGAACUAUUAUGCCUUUUACUAGGUGUAAUAGGGAGCUAGGACUGUUACUUUGAAAAAAUUAGAGUGUUUAAAGCAGGCUUUAAGCUUGAAUAGAUUAGCAUGGAAUAACGAAAUAGGACGGCAUGAUUCUAUUUUGUUGGUUUCUAGGAUCACCGUAAUGAUUAAUGGGAUAGUUGGG
rnacentral:rRNA from 1 species